CUCCCGCUACUCUUUUCUUCGCUCGCUAGCCAUUGUGCUGUUCAUCGAUGCUUUGUUAAAUUUUCGAGUUGCUGUUGCCGCUGCACUCGAUUUUUCGGCAGUCUAUCACGAGUAUUCAACGAAACGAAGUGUUGUUGCUGACAUUUAGUGUUGCCGCUUCAGCGCAAAUGCAAAUCGAUCGGUUGGUCGGUCAACGGUCAAAAGCGCAUCGAAUCGAUCGAGUUGAAAGAAAUUUAUAUAUAUAUAUAUUUUUGGUUUAAAACUGAAUAUGCAAAAAUGUAACGCGUAGCUGGUGGCGAUCGCGUUUCUCUUUUUCGCAAUUUUAUUCAACGAAUUUCGAGUACUUUUUUGUGGUGUUUCUAAAGAAAAUCGAAAAUCAACGAUGUUGUGUAGUGAUAUUCAGUAAUUACAUAAAAAAUAAAUGAAACAAAAUAUACAUAGAAAAAGUUUGAAAACAUAAUCUGUAUUAAAAAAAUGUUCAUCUGUGGAAUGAAUUAUUGCUGUGCUACCGGACUUUAAUAAAAUGGAAAUAUUGAACUGAAAAUAGUUAUUUAUGUAAUAAAUAUUUUAAA